AAUCAACGCUGGCGGCGUGCCUAACACAUGCAAGUCGAACGCGAAAGCCCCGCAAGGGGUUAGUAGAGUGGCAAAACGGGUGAGUAACACGUGGGUGACCUGCCUUCGAGUGGGGGAUAACGUCCCGAAAGGGACGCUAAUACCGCAUAACAUCCUGCCUUUUAAGAGGUGGACAUCAAAGCUGGGGAUCGCAAGACCUAGCGCUUGAAGAGGGGCCCGCGCCUGAUUAGCUAGUUGGUGGGGAAUGGCUCACCAAGGCAACGAUC
rnacentral:rRNA from 1 species